AGAUUGAACGCUGGCGGCAGGCCUAACACAUGCAAGUCGAGCGGCAGCACGGGUACUUGUACCUGGUGGCGAGCGGCGGACGGGUGAGUAAUGCCUAGGAAUCUGCCUGGUAGUGGGGGAUAACGCUCGGAAACGGACGCUAAUACCGCAUACGUCCUACGGGAGAAAGCAGGGGACCUUCGGGCCUUGCGCUAUCAGAUGAGCCUAGGUCGGAUUAGCUAGUUGGUGAGGUAAUGGCUCACCAAGGCGACGAUCCGUAACUGGUCUGAGAGGAUGAUCAGUCACACUGGAACUGAGACACGGUCCAGACUCCUACGGGAGGCAGCAGUGGGGAAUAUUGGACAAAUGGGACGAAAGCCUGAUCCAAGCCAUGCCGCGUGUGUGAAAGAAGGUCUUCGGAUUUGUAAAAGCUAACGUUUAAAGUUGGAAGGAAGGGCAAGUUACCUAAAUACGUAUCUGUUUUGACGUUACCGACAGAAAUAAGCAACCGGACUAACUCUGUG
rnacentral:rRNA from 1 species